rnacentral:rRNA from 1 species
AUACGGAGGGUGCAAGCGUUAAUCGGAAUUACUGGGCGUAAAGCGCACGUAGGCGGUUUGACAAGUGGGAUGUGAAAGCCCUGGGCUCAACCUGGGAACUGCAUCCCAAACUGUCAGGCUAGAGUAUGGUAGAGGGGGGCGGAAUUCCCGGUGUAGCGGUGAAAUGCGUAGAGAUCGGGAGGAACAUCAGUGGCGAAGGCGGCCCCCUGGACUGAUACUGACGCUGAGGUGCGAAAGCGUGGGGAUC